CAGUCGCCACGGUAAUACGUAGGUGGCAAGCGUUGUCCGGAAUUAUUGGGCGUAAAGGGCUCGCAGGCGGUUUCUUAAGUCUGAUGUGAAAGCCCCCGGCUCAACCGGGGAGGGUCAUUGGAAACUGGGAAACUUGAGUGCAGAAGAGGAGAGUGGAAUUCCACGUGUAGCGGUGGAAUGCGUAGAGAUGUGGAGGAACACCAGUGGCGAAGGCGACUCUCUGGUCUGUAACUGACGCUGAGGAGCGAAAGCGUGGGGAGCGAACAGGAUUAGAUACCCGCGUAGUCCCUGUCUCUUAUAC
rnacentral:rRNA from 1 species